GCAAGUCGAGCGAACUACCUUCGGGUAGUUAGUGGCGAACGGGUGAGUAACACGUAAGGAACCAACCCUUUACACGAGGAUAACUACUGGAAACGGUAGCUAAUACUGGAUAGGACAUGACCACAAAAGUGGAUAUGUUUAAAGUGGCUUUCAAGCCACGGUAAGGGCUGGGCUUGCGUCGCAUUAGAUAGUUGGUGAGGGUAACGGCCUACCAAGUCAACGAUGCGUAGCUGAGCUGAGAGGCUGAAC
rnacentral:rRNA from 1 species